ensembl:lncRNA novel transcript, antisense to NRXN3
UUGAUAGGAAAUAAAGAUAAAUGGGUGUGAUGUUGUCUUCUCCCAAGGACCUUCUCCAACCACACUACUCGAAGUGUGUCCAGAAUUGGUGGGCUCUUGGUCUCGCUGACUUCAAGAAUGAAGCCGUGGACCCUCGCGAUUAAACAAGUGCAACUUUCCCAAUCUCACACAACUACUUGUGGAGCCAGGAUUCCAUACAGGCAAUGUGAGUGCACAUCCAAAACUUGAAACCACUGAACAAUAAUGCUUUCUGAAAGAUAAGGAAUUUAUUCAUGAUCAUUGGUGCUAUCUGGCUUGCUCGUCCUCCUCAACUUCCAGUACUGUUGAAUCGUUGUGUAUAAUUUGACCAACAUUAAAUCUUUCAUUUUUGACACGGAGUCUCGCUCUGUCGCCCAGGCUGGAGUGCAGUGGCAUGAUCUCAGCUCACUGCAAGCUCCGCCUCCCAGGUUCAUGCCAUUCUCCUGCCUCAGUCUCCCAGGUAGCUGGGACUACAGGCACCCCCCAACCAUGCCCGGCUAAUUUUUUGUAUUUUUAGUGGAGACGGGGUUUCA